rnacentral:rRNA from 1 species
UACGGGGGGAGCAAGCGUUGUUCGGAUUUACUGGGCGUAAAGGGCGCGUAGGCGGUCGUGACAAGUCACUUGUGAAAUCUCCGGGCUUAACUCGGAACGGUCAAGUGAUACUGUCGGACUAGAGUACAGAAGGGGCAACUGGAAUUCUCGGUGUAGCGGUGAAAUGCGUAGAUAUCGUUUGGAACGCCAAAGGUGAAAACAGACAGCUGGGAGUGUGCUGACGCUGAGACACGAAAGCCAGGGGAGCGAACGGG